rnacentral:rRNA from 1 species
CGCUGGCGGCGUGCCUAACACAUGCAAGUCGAGCGAUUCUCUUCGGAGAAGAGCGGCGGACGGGUGAGUAACGCGUGGGUAACCUGCCCUGUACACACGGAUAACAUACCGAAAGGUAUGCUAAUACGAGAUAAUAUACUUUUAUCGCAUGGUAGAAGUAUCAAAGCUCCGGCGGUACAGGAUGGACCCGCGUCUGAUUAGCUAGUUGGUAAGGUAACGGCUUACCAAGGCGACGAUCAGUAGCCGACCUGAGAGGGUGAUCGGCCACAUUGGAACUGAGACACGGUCCAAACUCCUACGGCAGGCAGCAGUGGGGAAUAUUGCACAAUGGGCGAAAGCCUGAUGCAGCAACGCCGCGUGAGCGAUGAAGGCCUUCGGGUCGUAAAGCUCUGUCCUCAAGGAAGAUAAUGACGGUACUUGAGGAGGAAGCCCCGGCUAACUACGUGCCAGCAGCCGCGGUAAUACGUAGGGGGCUAGCGUUAUCCGGAAUUACUGGGCGUAAAGGGUGCGUAGGUGGUUUCUUAAGUCAGAGGUGAAAGGCUACGGCUCAACCGUAGUAAGCCUUUGAAACUGGGAAACUUGAGUGCAGGAGAGGAGAGUGGAAUUCCUAGUGUAGCGGUGAAAUGCGUAGAUAUUAGGAGGAACACCCGUUGCGAAGGCGGCUCUCUGGACUGUAACUGACACUGAGGCACGAAAGCGUGGGGAGCAAAACAGGAUUAGAUACCCUGGUAGUCCACGCCGUAAACGAUGAGUACUAGCUGUCGGAGGGUUACCCCCUUCGGUGGCGCAGCUAACGCAUUAAGUACUCCGCCUGGGAAGUACGCUCGCAAGAGUGAAACUCAAAGGAAUUGACGGGGACCCGCACAAGUAGCGGAGCAUGUGGUUUAAUUCGAAGCAACGCGAAGAACCUUACCUAAGCUUGACAUCCUUUUGACCGAUGCCUAAUCGCAUCUUUCCCUUCGGGGACAGAAGUGACAGGUGGUGCAUGGUUGUCGUCAGCUCGUGUCGUGAGAUGUUGGGUUAAGUCCCGCAACGAGCGCAACCCUUGCCUUUAGUUGCCAGCAUUAAGUUGGGCACUCUAGAGGGACUGCCAGGGAUAACCUGGAGGAAGGUGGGGAUGACGUCAAAUCAUCAUGCCCCUUAUGCUUAGGGCUACACACGUGCUACAAUGGGUGGUACAGAGGGCAGCCAAGUCGUGAGGCGGAGCUAAUCCCUUAAAGCCAUUCUCAGUUCGGAUUGUAGGCUGAAACUCGCCUACAUGAAGCUGGAGUUACUAGUAAUCGCAGAUCAGAAUGCUGCGGUGAAUGCGUUCCCGGGUCUUGUACACACCGCCCGUCACACCACGGGAGUUGGGGGCGCCCGAAGCCGGAUUGCUAACCUUUUGGAAGCGUCCGUCGAAGGUGAAAUCAA